GAUGAACGCUGGCGGCGUGCCUAAUACAUGCAAGUCGAGCGAACAGACGAGGAGCUUGCUCCUCUGACGUUAGCGGCGGACGGGUGAGUAACACGUGGAUAACCUACCUAUAAGACUGUGAUAACUUCGGGAAACCGGAGCUAAUACCGGAUAAUAUAUUGAACCGCAUGGUUCAAUAGUGAAAGACGGUUUUGCUGUCACUUAUAGAUGGAUCCGCGCCGCAUUAGCUAGUUGGUAAGGUAACGGCUUACCAAGGCAACGAUGCGUAGCCGACCUGAGAGGGUGAAAGGCGAAAAGUGAAAUGAGAAACAGUCCAGACACCUACGGGAGGCAGGAGUAGGGAAUGGGAAGCAACGGGCGAAAGACGGACGGAGCAAGGACGAAUGAGAGAUGAAAUUCAUCGGAUAGUAAAACGCUGUUAUUAGGGAAAAACAAAUGUGUAAGUAACUAUGCACGUAUUGACGGUACCUAAUCAGAAAGCCACAGAAAACUACGUG
rnacentral:rRNA from 1 species